GAGGUCGUAGUUCAAUUGGUUAGAGCAUCGCCCUGUCACGGCGAAAGUUGCGGGUUCAAGUCCCGUCGAUCUCG
rnacentral:tRNA from 1 species